CGUGACUGAAUACGCCGGUCAGCCACAGUCCAACUCCAACGUAUCAAGUUACGAGGUUGUGCUUUCUGAACAGGCAUGGUGGGCUGGUGUCUAUCUUCGUUUAUAUCCCAUUAUCUGUUGACUACGCUAUUUGUUUCGUUAACUCGUGUCAUCCCCAUGCUCAAAAAAGAUUUCAUCAAGAGUACGAAUGCUGACAUUAUUACCGAAGAAUGAGAGCAACUUUGAACGAUCAAAAUAUUGUACAGUUAUUUGUGGCUUGCACAGAUUCCGGAUGCUUCAUCACUGAUUCUGUCAGGUAUGCUGGGUAUCGGCCCCUUCACUUUAACACAUGAAGAUGAAGAGGAAGCAGCAGCAGAACCACAACUCAGCGACUCUGCGAGGCAGAACUCAGGCACAAGUUGGUGACCCAACAACUCCACUUUGGAUUCGCUGCAAAGCUUGCCACUUUGGCAGAACCAUUUUCUUCUUCCCCGGUCCGGCCAUGGUGUCGAUUUCUUCUUCCUAGAUCCACAAAAUACGGGACCUCCAUCCCUUCUGUCAAUGGCAUCAAGAAAUCCAGAUGCCGGCGCAGAAGACUCACGCAAGGAGGCUCUUCCAACCAUGACGAUAAUAGGAAGAUGCUAGGUGAGUUCUCGGUUCAUAAUCACCAUUAGAAUUCCACUGUUUUUAGUUUGGUUUUCGUCCUGUGAAGUUGUUGGUAAGGGAGACCAAUGUCUCCUGGCGGAGAGGAAGAAAGCAAUGACAAUGAGCCAGACCACCGCAUUCCAAUCGAUGGAAUAGCAGUGGGUUUUGUUUCUAUUGAACAUGCCGCCGUUCUUAACUGCUACUCAUUCAUGCUCCAAUCACCCUUCAACCAGCAGUUGGGGAAUCAAGUUGGUGGAGGAAUGACCUUCCAGGAUAUGGUAAGGAGAUCUAGUAAUAGAGUGCUGAAUUAUGUAGCUGAUGACUUGAAUGGAAAAACUAGGAUUGGCCGUGUAGAACAGGUUCCAAACUGCAAUGAUUCUUGAGUUCUCGUGGAUCUAGAAAGGUGCCCUGUGGAUCAUGAUUCAUCUGUGGAAGUUGCAUCUUCCUCCUUUUGCACCGGAGAUGGUAAAAUAAACUCCAAAUCACAGGAGAGGGGUCCGGCAACCAUGAUGAAACAGUGACCUGUGUUUUAGGAAUUUAACAGGAAGGCAUUGAUUCUUCUAAUAACCGCGAAAUGUUCAGUACAAAGAUUGAAGCGCAGCCAUGGCCGCUUGCUCCAACGGUUCCCUGGGAACCGCCCCCCACCCUACGUAGGGGGAGCUUUGGGGGGGAAAUUUCCUCCAACGGUUCCCCCAAAGCUCCCCCUAUAUACGGGGGGAGUUGAAACUCCCCUCAUAUAUAGGGAGAAGGCUGCCUAAAGAUGCGCCUGAAGGGUUGAAUCGCUAAAAGACGAGGAAUGAGAUAAUAAGGGAGAAAAUGAAGCAGUCAGGGAGGAAGGUCAGCAAGAAGAAGAAAAACAAAAAGUGCUGUGGCACCUGCAGACUUGAUGAUCAUAAGACGUCAGAAUGUCUAACCAAGAUUGUUUGGUAUUACUGUGUCAAGGGAAUUCUGAUUUCUGGACCUGAUCGUGGAUGUUAUUUUUGGUUCUUGUGCAUGCUAGAUUUGUAGUGCCUAAGAUCCAUUUUGUAUGUAGCCUAGUUGGAUUGAUGGUUCAUGUAACCGCGUGUGGAUGACAAGUUUAUUAUAUAUUUGUUCACUCUACUGAAUGUAUUUGUUGCGACAAUUUAAUGUCCUUUCAGCACAAUUGAUUGAGAUAUAAUUGAACGUGUUGUCAAA